UUUCGUCAUCCUCCCACCUCCGUUAACUCGCUACGCUCCUGCGAGGAAAACCCGUGCCAAACAAAACCAUACGAUCGAUCCCUCCUGCCCAUAGCAGCGACCUCGAUCCCAUCCUUGAUUGCCGACUCCUCUCGAUCCCAUCUCUACUCCAAUACGAGCCGCCGCCGAGAUCCGAAACGAUCCGCCGCCGCCGAGGACCGAUUGGAGCCGCCGCGGGCGCUGGCCUCCUGCCCUCGUUCGGCGCCGCCGCCGCUCCAUUCCUGCUGCCUUGACCCUCUCUUCCCUCCAAGCUUGCCGCCGGCGACGAAGCGUACGGCACCGCUACGGUCGUGCUCGAUCGCCUCCAGGAACCCGGCACGCGUGGCGAGGCGAGGGACUCCUGGGCUCCUUCCAUCACCGCUUUGCCGAUGACCCCGCCGCCGGGCAGGAGUGCUUCCGCGCCUCCAGGAACCCGCCACGCACAUCAAGGUGAAGAAUCCUUUCCACCUGCAGAGGGUGCCGUGCGGGUUUCGCCGGUCUGUGGUCGGCUGCGAUGAAUUGGGCGUCCUGCUGUCUUUUCUUCUUGUGGGUGCUAUUUGUUCGUGUGGACGGAGGUACCCGUGCUGGGGUUCGUGUGGAUUUAAGAUUAGCCGGCAUGGUUGAUUGGGAUUAAGAUCGGACUAUUCCUAAACAUGCCAAAUGUUGCCUGGAUGAUUGGGAUUAAGAUUGACUAAUCCUAACCAUGCCAAUGUUGUGCUUGCAGUGCUUCUUUGGCACCGGCACAAUUCUGGUCGAGUACCUACUCUUCAGUUUUCUGGAAUCGCCUUGAGGACGCAGACACCAAUUUUGCAGACAUCAAGUUCUAUGUGAUAACCAUCGAGAACAGCGAGCCAAAUAUGAUUCCUUCUUAAAUUAUCGAGUAUAUUAUGCAGAUUAACUCCAAUGUAAGAAGUUCAGGAAUCAAGAUGAACUGGCAUUCUACAAGUAAUUAAACUGAUGAUGAAUCAUUGUCUUGUCUUCAUUGUUAAGUACAUUUACAGGUUAGGCCUGCUGUCUUUGGCCGAGUGUUAGUUUUAUUAACAAGGAUAUUACAAACAAAAUUUAGAAGGAUUUGGAAGUUUUACACUACAAAAUAAUGGUAGUAGCAUGUUUGGUGCUGAAAGGGUUCUGCUGCAGUGCAAGUUACUUGAGAGAAGAAAUUGUUCAACUUAAAUAAAAUAUGUUCAUUGAUCCAGUGGUAAGCUAUUCCGAAUUCAUUUCAUGAUGUGGCUGCUCAUGUCUGAUUCUUGCUCAUCUGGUGUUCAUUUACACACUUGGUAAUGAUUCUGCAGUUCUUUUCCACACUUGGCCAUGGUAAUCAGGAUUCACGGUUUCACUAUUCUCAGUUCGUUUAUGCCAGGCUUGGUCAAGACUAUGCUACAAAAUGGCCUGAAGUGGUGGCUCACUACUACUGUUAUUUCCAUGUUGUUCUUUUAAACUCCACUUCUCUGUUAUAGGCACCUUUUUGUUAAACAACUCCACUUCUAUGUUGUAGGUACCUUAUACGAUGCAGGGUAAAGAGAGUUGCCAUACGUUUUUACGAGCAGAAUUGUGGCAUGCUUUGUUCAAGAUCUGCUGCAGUCAGUAAAUAUUUGUAUGGUCUGCAAUUCUGCAUACUACUAAAGGAGUUACAACUGAGCACUGUACUCGGAGAAAAUUACCAAGGUUCUACUUCGUCCUGGCGCCACUCCCAUCCUUGUCUGCCUCAUGGUCGCGGUCCUAGCCGUGGAUGAUGCCAUUGUGCCGUACUCCCUACUUACCCCUGCAUGACAACCGCGCUACUAUGCCGCUAUGCAAUCAGAUGCUUGUCUCCGUCCUUGUCAGUCCACAGGCAUUGCUCAUAUUUUUGUCCCUAAAAAAUAUUGGAGAGAUAUGCUAAUUUCCUGAAGUUGAAUGUUCUCUUUGAGCACCUCAGUGAUUAAAGAUUAGAUGGAUUUUCCCCUAGGUACAUUGUCAUGUAAGGAAAUUUCCUCAAAGGUGUUUCAAAUUAGUUUGCCGAAUUGCUGAUUGUACCGCUUGAAUGCAGCUAGGAAUAUAGACCAAGUGAUGAUGGCUACCUUUUGGUUCUUAUAAUUGAGUCACAAGCACUUAUAUUGCAUUGUUUUUAUUAUAGUUCACGAGGUUGACUAAUUUGUGAGGCAGUGGCAGUGCAAACAUCGUCAUCUUUUUUUGGUUGACAGUACGAAAUAGUGGCAUCUUGAUGUUGAAGCAAGAUUGUUUGCAAGACAACAUAUGACACCAUCUUCAUUGCCCUUUUUCGUCUCAGGAAUGAAGGUUUAAUGGCUGGACUAUCAUGCUGUCUACUUGGUUUCAGCUGUACAUAUCUUAAUACUUGACCUUCAGUGAGGACUCGUUUCUUAGGAGAAAUAGUAGGAGAGCAACAAUUGAUUGGUAAGUCUUGCUUGCUAUUAGUUGCAUAAUUAAUAUUGAAAUUCGUUAGUUUGCUUCAAGGUUACAAAGCCAGCAAUGAAUGAGACUAUCAUUAUUAGGAUUGAAGGAUGGUUCAAUGUUGUUGAUAGCAGUAAGAAACACUUGCAAAUGUAUGUCUCGUCUAUUUAAAUGUGUGCUCUAAAAAUAAAUGUACACAACUGUCACAAUAUUGUUUACUACAAUAUUUGAAUUAGAAGUAGUAGUUUUAUGUUUUUGUUUAGUUUUAUAGUAUCUCAGUUAUGAAAUAAAUCCAAGCCUUCCUCCAAAUAGGUUUUUUUGCCUUGAUUUUUAUAAUUCAAAUAAUUUUCGUAUUUUAUAAUAUUCAAACAAAAUGGUUUGUAGAGUCAAUGUUCUCUGACUUAGGUAGCUUUAAUUUAAUGCACUGACGAAGCGUUUUACCUGAGACGAGUGCUGGGAGAGGCUGAUUAGGAUUGCAACGAGGGGGAGACGUCGAUGCUGCCGCUGGCGACCGUUACCGCGACCAUGGCUGUGGGAGUGAGGCGCCGGCGACCAUGACAUCGACCGUGUUGGCCCAUGGUGUUUCUGACUUUCCACGCUCCGUUCCAGGUAGCUGCCAUUCCGAUUGAUCCCCUCCAGGUGAGUGAGCAGCUUACACUCAACCGAUGAAGGCAUCCAAAGGUUCGACUAGGUGGGUAGGAACUCAGCUGGGCUCACUUCCAUUUGCAUUCUUGUCUGCAACAUCGGAUACUCCGGGAGGUUCAUGCAUGUUUGUUUUCUAUAUGUUUUUUCUCAUAAUGCAGGGCACAAAGAUAGGUCUCCUUUUAGUUACCAUAGAUUUUAGUUUUUUUCUGCUUACUGUCUUCUCCACUUUCUUGUCAGAUUAAGCAACUAACAAAUGAAUCUGUGCACAUUUAUACCA